rnacentral:rRNA from 1 species
UACGAAGGGGGCUAGCGUUGCUCGGAAUCACUGGGCGUAAAGGGUGCGUAGGCGGGUUUUUAAGUCAGAGGUGAAAUCCUGGAGCUCAACUCCAGAACUGCCUUUGAUACUGAAGAUCUUGAGUUCGGGAGAGGUGAGUGGAACUGCGAGUGUAGAGGUGAAAUUCGUAGAUAUUCGCAAGAACACCAGUGGCGAAGGCGGCUCACUGGCUCGGUACUGACGCUGAGGUGGCGAAAGCGUGGGGAGCAAACAGG